CGUACGCAACCUCCCCAGAACAGGUGAAUAGCCUUCCGAAAGGAAGAUUAAUACACCGUACCAUAUAGAUGUGGCAUCAUGUUUAUAUUAUAGGUAGCAAUACCGGUUCUGGAUGGGCGUGCGCCUGAUUAGGUAGUUGGUGCGGGUAACGGCCCACCAAGCCUUCGAUCAGUAACUGGUGUGAGAGCACGACCAGUCACACGGGCACUGAGACACGGGCCCG
rnacentral:rRNA from 1 species